UUACGGCCACACCACAUUGAAUCACCGGUUCCGGUACGAGCACCGAAGUUAAGCAACGUCGAGCGGGGUCAGUAUCUAGAUGGAUGACCAGUUGGGAAUACAAG